GCCACACAGGGCUGUGAUGGCUUCAGAGGUCAUGCUCAGCCUCCUGGCACAGCGUGGCAUGUUGACCACACCACCCGGGACAGACUGAAGAGGAUUUGGGGGAUGUGGAGGCAGAUGUGGAGGCCCUGGGCUUUGGCCUGGAAGACCCUGGUAAGAGCGCCUCUGUGCCCGACAAUGUCAAGGAAAUGAAUUGAAGGCCAAGUGUGUAUAAUUGUAUAAGAAGGAAGGAGAGAAGAAGAUUGUUGGAUGGGAAAAUUAGAGGAAGAGUCAAGGCCAAAUUAGUCCCUUAGGAGAAUGAAUUUUCUCAUCAGUGCCUUACAGUUAUAAGGAGAAACAAGGUCAGCUUUGCAAAAACUCAGCUUCAGUCAAAUUCAUUGCAAGACCAUUGCUCCUGACAUUGGCCACAACUUAACUAAUCAGGAAAGCCGACUGAUGGAAGCAGAUGUGGAUGGGGCUAUGCCAUGCUGGCUACGAUUGUAUCACCCCUACACAGUGCAGAUGAAGACCAUCCCUCCCUGCCGCAAUAUGCCAAGCAGAGCGAGGCUUGGCGGAGGACAGCCAGAGCUAACACAAUACAACUGCUGAGAAUAUGCCUGCCAUCAAUUGCCUCCAUGCAUGGGAAAACAAGAAUCUGCUCUCUUGACACCAGACCUGUAGGGGAAUCACAAAAAUAUACACCGCCAAGGGUUUUCUUUUCUCAAGAUUCAUCCAACCACACGUUUACAAGCAGAAAGGGGCUCCUUAAAAUAACACCAAGUAGCUUUAUAAACAUGCAAACUCAUAAUAAGCAACCAGAUGCAAUUUUAACCAGCAUGUGAAAGUACUGCAAUAUCAUUUUCCUUCAAUACACAGAACCAGUCUACGCAAAUAAUCGGCCAUAAAUAAAAAGUUAUAUAUGGCCUCCUUGAGGGCAAGGCUAUGCACUAUAAACAUGUAGCUACUCUCAGAGAUCACCAGGGUGGAAAGAAGACGGCCAGCCAUGCUCAAACUUCUUGCAAAGAUACUUGCCAGGGGGAUAAAACAUCCCAGCUCUCCUACCUAAUAAUGUGGUGAGAUGACAGCUGUUACAAGCCUGAGAAGUUCUCUGCUGGAGAGACUCAGAGCUGCUCAACCUUGUGUCAUAAACCCAAUACAGAUAGCAACUAAUGGGGAUUCUCCUUUUACUCAAGCAAACACCCAAAUGAGAACUCUCCUGUUGCUCAGGGAUUCUGUAACUUUACAAUUCUGCUUGCAAAAAACCUGCCAGUGGAAGGGAAAAUGCAAAUAAGCAUAUCUGUACAAAGCAGCAGCAUCCAAUUUCAAAUCUACACAGUUCUUUACCUUUUAAAUUGAGAAUCUUUUCCACUGCAGAAUAUAGGAUUAAAAUUAGUGGGGGAGUGCAGAUACAAGACUGAUGAAAAAAGUACAAGAGAAAAGAAUAAGAUGUACUCUAGGGGUGUGCAUGGACUGUUCAGUCCUGAACUGAUUCACCUCAAACUGGGCUGGUUUGACGAUUCAAUCAUGCACCAGACCGGAGCUGGUCCAGUCCGCAAUCAAACCGAACCAAGCCCAGACUUAGGUGGACCAGUUCAGAAUCAAAGAGCUAUGCUUGUAAAGGGGAAUCCAGUGAGGGUUCCCUUAUACUAGCCAAGUGGUGCGGGGAUCCUUUAAAAGUGUUCUGAAGGGUGGUUGAGGGGGGUGGCGAGAGAAGUCGAUUAAGGUUCUUACUGGCCCACUGCUGGCUGUUGGCACUGUUGCUCGCCCCCCUGGCACAGCCCAAGCAUGUGACACUCCCUCUCCAGCAGCCU